UACGUAGGGGGCAAGCGUUGUCCGGAUUUAUUGGGCGUAAAGAGCGUGUAGGCGGCCGCACAGGUCCGUUGUGAAAACUGGAGGCUUAACCUUCAGACGUCGAUGGAAACCGUGCGGCUAGAGUCCGGAAGAGGAGAAUGGAAUUCCUGGUGUAGCGGUGAAAUGCGCAGAUAUCAGGAAGAACACCCGUGGCUAAGGCGGUUCUCUAGUACGGUACUGACGCUGAGACGCGAAAGCGUGGGGAGCGAGCAGG
rnacentral:rRNA from 1 species